UUAAGUUAUUAAGGGCGCACGGUGGAUGCCUUGGCACUAGAAGCCGAUGAAGGACGUUACUAACGACGAUAUGCUUUGGGGAGCUGUAAGUAAGCUUUGAUCCAGAGAUUUCCGAAUGGGGAAACCCAGCAUGAGUUAUGUCAUGUUAUCGAUAUGUGAAUACAUAGCAUAUCAGAAGGCACACCCGGAGAACUGAAACAUCUUAGUACCCGGAGGAAGAGAAAGAAAAUUCGAUUCCCUUAGUAGCGGCGAGCGAAACGGGAAGAGCCCAAACCAACAAGCUUGCUUGUUGGGGUUGUAGGACACUCUAUACGGAGUUACAAAGGACGACAUUAGACGAAUCAUCUGGAAAGAUGAAUCAAAGAAGGUAAUAAUCCUGUAGUCGAAAAUGUUGUCUCUCUUGAGUGGAUCCUGAGUACGACGGAGCACGUGAAAUUCCGUCGGAAUCUGGGAGGACCAUCUCCUAAGGCUAAAUACUCUCUAGUGACCGAUAGUGAACCAGUACCGUGAGGGAAAGGUGAAAAGCACCCCGGAAGGGGAGUGAAAUAGAACCUGAAACCGUGUGCUUACAAGUAGUCAGAGCCCGUUAAUGGGUGAUGGCGUGCCUUUUGUAGAAUGAACCGGCGAGUUACGAUUUGAUGCAAGGUUAAGCAGUAAAUGUGGAGCCGUAGCGAAAGCGAGUCUGAAUAGGGCGUUUAGUAUUUGGUCGUAGACCCGAAACCAGGUGAUCUACCCUUGGUCAGGUUGAAGUUCAGGUAACACUGAAUGGAGGACCGAACCGACUUACGUUGAAAAGUGAGCGGAUGAACUGAGGGUAGCGGAGAAAUUCCAAUCGAACCUGGAGAUAGCUGGUUCUCUCCGAAAUAGCUUUAGGGCUAGCCUCAAGUGAUGAUUAUUGGAGGUAGAGCACUGUUUGGACGAGGGGCCCCUCUCGGGUUACCGAAUUCAGACAAACUCCGAAUGCCAAUUAAUUUAACUUGGGAGUCAGAACAUGGGUGAUAAGGUCCGUGUUCGAAAGGGAAACAGCCCAGACCACCAGCUAAGGUCCCAAAAUAUAUGUUAAGUGGUAAAGGAUGUGGCGUUGCCCAGACAACUAGGAUGUUGGCUUAGAAGCAGCCAUCAUUUAAAGAGUGCGUAAUAGCUCACUAGUCGAGUGACACUGCGCCGAAAAUGUACCGGGGCUAAACAUAUUACCGAAGCUGUGGAUUGUCCUUUGGACAAUGGUAGGAGAGCGUUCUAAGGGCGUUGAAGCAUGAUCGUAAGGACAUGUGGAGCGCUUAGAAGUGAGAAUGCCGGUGUGAGUAGCGAAAGACGGGUGAGAAUCCCGUCCACCGAUUGACUAAGGUUUCCAGAGGAAGGCUCGUCCGCUCUGGGUUAGUCGGGUCCUAAGCUGAGGCCGACAGGCGUAGGCGAUGGAUAACAGGUUGAUAUUCCUGUACCACCUAUAAUCGUUUUAAUCGAUGGGGGGACGCAGUAGGAUAGGCGAAGCGUGCGAUUGGAUUGCACGUCUAAGCAGUAAGGCUGAGUAUUAGGCAAAUCCGGUACUCGUUAAGGCUGAGCUGUGAUGGGGAGAAGACAUUGAGUCUUCGAGUCGUUGAUUUCACACUGCCGAGAAAAGCCUCUAGAUAGAAAAUAGGUGCCCGUACCGCAAACCGACACAGGUAGUCAAGAUGAGAAUUCUAAGGUGAGCGAGCGAACUCUCGUUAAGGAACUCGGCAAAAUGACCCCGUAACUUCGGGAGAAGGGGUGCUCUUUAGGGUUAACGCCCAGAAGAGCCGCAGUGAAUAGGCCCAAGCGACUGUUUAUCAAAAACACAGGUCUCUGCUAAACCGUAAGGUGAUGUAUAGGGGCUGACGCCUGCCCGGUGCUGGAAGGUUAAGAGGAGUGGUUAGCUUCUGCGAAGCUACGAAUCGAAGCCCCAGUAAACGGCGGCCGUAACUAUAACGGUCCUAAGGUAGCGAAAUUCCUUGUCGGGUAAGUUCCGACCCGCACGAAAGGCGUAACGAUUUGGGCACUGUCUCAACGAGAGACUCGGUGAAAUCAUAGUACCUGUGAAGAUGCAGGUUACCCGCGACAGGNAUGUGGCGUUGCCCAGACAACUAGGAUGUUGGCUUAGAAGCAGCCAUCAUUUAAAGAGUGCGUAAUAGCUCACUAGUCGAGUGACACUGCGCCGAAAAUGUACCGGGGCUAAACAUAUUACCGAAGCUGUGGAUUGUCCUUUGGACAAUGGUAGGAGAGCGUUCUAAGGGCGUUGAAGCAUGAUCGUAAGGACAUGUGGAGCGCUUAGAAGUGAGAAUGCCGGUGUGAGUAGCGAAAGACGGGUGAGAAUCCCGUCCACCGAUUGACUAAGGUUUCCAGAGGAAGGCUCGUCCGCUCUGGGUUAGUCGGGUCCUAAGCUGAGGCCGACAGGCGUAGGCGAUGGAUAACAGGUUGAUAUUCCUGUACCACCUAUAAUCGUUUUAAUCGAUGGGGGGACGCAGUAGGAUAGGCGAAGCGUGCGAUUGGAUUGCACGUCUAAGCAGUAAGGCUGAGUAUUAGGCAAAUCCGGUACUCGUUAAGGCUGAGCUGUGAUGGGGAGAAGACAUUGUGUCUUCGAGUCGUUGAUUUCACACUGCCGAGAAAAGCCUCUAGAUAGAAAAUAGGUGCCCGUACCGCAAACCGACACAGGUAGUCAAGAUGAGAAUUCUAAGGUGAGCGAGCGAACUCUCGUUAAGGAACUCGGCAAAAUGACCCCGUAACUUCGGGAGAAGGGGUGCUCUUUAGGGUUAACGCCCAGAAGAGCCGCAGUGAAUAGGCCCAAGCGACUGUUUAUCAAAAACACAGGUCUCUGCUAAACCGUAAGGUGAUGUAUAGGGGCUGACGCCUGCCCGGUGCUGGAAGGUUAAGAGGAGUGGUUAGCUUCUGCGAAGCUACGAAUCGAAGCCCCAGUAAACGGCGGCCGUAACUAUAACGGUCCUAAGGUAGCGAAAUUCCUUGUCGGGUAAGUUCCGACCCGCACGAAAGGCGUAACGAUUUGGGCACUGUCUCAACGAGAGACUCGGUGAAAUCAUAGUACCUGUGAAGAUGCAGGUUACCCGCGACAGGACGGAAAGACCCCGUGGAGCUUUACUGUAGCCUGAUAUUGAAAUUCGGCACAGCUUGUACAGGAUAGGUAGGAGCCUUUGAAACGUGAGCGCUAGCUUACGUGGAGGCGCUGGUGGGAUACUACCCUAGCUGUGUUGGCUUUCUAACCCGCACCACUUAUCGUGGUGGGAGACAGUGUCAGGCGGGCAGUUUGACUGGGGCGGUCGCCUCCUAAAAGGUAACGGAGGCGCUCAAAGGUUCCCUCAGAAUGGUUGGAAAUCAUUCAUAGAGUGUAAAGGCAUAAGGGAGCUUGACUGCGAGACCUACAAGUCGAGCAGGGUCGAAAGACGGACUUAGUGAUCCGGUGGUUCCGCAUGGAAGGGCCAUCGCUCAACGGAUAAAAGCUACCCCGGGGAUAACAGGCUUAUCUCCCCCAAGAGUUCACAUCGACGGGGAGGUUUGGCACCUCGAUGUCGGCUCAUCGCAUCCUGGGGCUGUAGUCGGUCCCAAGGGUUGGGCUGUUCGCCCAUUAAAGCGGUACGCGAGCUGGGUUCAGAACGUCGUGAGACAGUUCGGUCCCUAUCCGUCGUGGGCGUAGGAAAUUUGAGAGGAGCUGUCCUUAGUACGAGAGGACCGGGAUGGACAUACCUCUGGUGUACCAGUUGUCGUGCCAACGGCAUAGCUGGGUAGCUAUGUGUGGACGGGAUAAGUGCUGAAAGCAUCUAAGCAUGAAGCCCCCCUCAAGAUGAGAUUUCCCAACUUCGGUUAUAAGAUCCCUCAAAGAUGAUGAGGUUAAUAGGUUCGAGGUGGAAGCAUGGUGACAUGUGGAGCUGACGAAUACUAAUCGAUCGAAGACUUAAUCAA
rnacentral:rRNA from 1 species